rnacentral:rRNA from 1 species
AUUGAACGCUGGCGGCAUGCCUUACACAUGCAAGUCGAACGGCAGCACGGGAGCAAUCCUGGUGGCGAGUGGCGAACGGGUGAGUAAUAUAUCGGAACGUGCCCGGUCGUGGGGAUAACGUAGCGAAAGCUACGCUAAUACCGCAUACGAUCUACGGAUGAAAGCGGGGGAUCGCAAGACCUCGCGCGAUUGGAGCGGCCGAUAUCAGAUUAGGUAGUUGGUGAGGUAAAGGCUCACCAAGCCGACGAUCUGUAGCUGGUCUGAGAGGACGACCAGCCACACUGGGACUGAGACACGGCCCAGACUCCUACGGGAGGCAGCAGUGGGGAAUUUUGGACAAUGGGCGCAAGCCUGAUCCAGCAAUGCCGCGUGCAGGAUGAAGGCCUGGUGUAAG